rnacentral:tRNA from 1 species
GCUGGGAUGUCAGAGAGGUUAUGUACCCGCCUGCAGAGCGGGCUAGGAGGGUUCGAUUCCCUCUCCCAGCU